rnacentral:lncRNA from 1 species
UAACUAUUCCUUUAUGAGUUCUGUAAAACAAAAGUAGUCUUGGUGAGUAAGUAGGGAAUUAGAUGGGCAGCCAACAAAAAAUGGAUUUGUGCUUAGUGGUUAUCCUAUUUUUUAAGGGACAUAAAUAAGAUAGAAAAUGAUCACUUACAAAUGUGAUCCAUACCAAAAAAAGUGGAAGUUGCUGCAAACAGCAACUAAAAAGGAAAAAACAGUUGAUAUCAUAUUUUCUUUCAAAAAGGGGGGAAAAAGAAGAUAACCAUGAGGUCUGUUAAAUUUGGGCCAGACCUAAUUCACCCCAAAAGCUAGCUCAAAGGGGAGGAGUGCCUAUGGCCCAUAUAAGGAGCACAUUACCCCUUUCCUCAACCGUUGUGGGAUUCAACACACCCCCUCACGCCCAGAAUUUUUACUGGUGCGUGGCACAUUUAUGGGGCGCCCAACAUCGGAUGGGGAGGCUUUGAUACCAUGUUAAUUUGGGUCAGGCCUAACUCACCCCAAAAGCUAGCUCAAGGGGGAGGUUUACUUAUGACCCAUAUAAGGGGCACAUUACCCCUUUCCACAAUCGAUGUGGGAUUCAACAAGGUCAAAGUUAGUUGAUUUGAGAUGCCUCAUGAUCAUAACCCAAUUCCACAACUUGGUCAAUUAGUAAUUUGAUAAGAGUUUUGUAUGUUAUUUAUGCUAUACCAUAGAUAGCACAAUGGUUCAACAGUUGAGUGGUUACCCCCAAAAAAUAUACUUCCAAAUCUUCAAUUUAUUUCAUCUUUCUUUUCCCUAUACAUUAUCCAAUAUCCAUUGAUAAGAUUGGAAGAAUUUCAGUCGUCAGUAGGUGAGUCAGGAGUGGGUGCUGCUGCAACCCAACGUUGUUGGCAGCAGCACAUGAUAGUGGCUGGUGAUACAAAACCACAUUACCAUCCAACAUAACCGUACCCUGUGCAAGAUUCUAUCAGUUAGUUGUACAUUUUUGAAGUGAACUUGAAUAUAUGAGGUGAAUCAAGAGAUAAUAACAAUAUGAUUUUGAGAAUUUAUGGUGUUUAUCUAAUUACAAACUGCUAUAUUAGAAAUUUCUUUGACGCAACGUGUGCAUUGAGAUUAAAGGUCAUGUGGUGAAGCAGGAUGUGGAUGACCAAUAUCUGAAAAUUAAUGAUUACCAGGUGUGGAACGGAAUCAAAGCAGGUGGAUGGUGGUGACUGUAACAUAUGAUGGGAAGUGAAUUUAUUAGAAAGGGGUAAGAUGAGCUCUUUUUCUGUUUUAGAUCUGAUGUGGCAACAGUUAAUUUAUUUUUAUUUUCUUGGCAUCACAAUUCAAUGCAGAAAAACCCCUGUUAAAAGCCAAUUAGUUCACCAUUUCUUAAUAGUUAGCGACAAAGGAUACCACAAUCAACAUCCAAAGAGAAUCAUCCUCAAGAGGAAAAACAUGGGAUGUGUUUCUACAUGGAAUGCAGAAGAUUAAGCCAGGAAACUCUUCAUUUUUUUUUUAUAAUUUGUUGCAUAACAUGGUCUAAUGUGCAUAAAGGGAACAUGGGAAUAAACAAAGGGAGAUCAA